CUGUUUUUAAAAAAAUUAAUUCACAAAACGUGUGUAAUGGGAAUCGAUCCCACAACCUUGGGACUAACAGUUAAGCACAAGAACCAUUGUGGCAAACAAACAAGUCAUGUUGGUUCCUGCAUUACUUGAUAUUUAUAAAAGUAGCGUUUAUUAAAAUAUAUUAAAUUAAUCUUCAUCUUCAACCUUCAGCCGGGUCACUUCA
rnacentral:lncRNA from 1 species